GGAGGGGGGGGUGGAGGGGGGUAUCCCUAUUCACAAGAGCCACUUCCUGUUUAUGGUUUAUGACGGGUCAUAAAACCCAUUGUGUAGGGAUGACAGGUGUAAUGCCUGUGGUGGACCUGCAGGGGUCGCUGGGGUGCGGGAUCUGUAUAGGCAGAGGUGUGUAUGUGGGUGUGAUUAGUGUGUGUGUGUGUGUGUGUGUGUGUGUGUGUGUGUGUGUGUGUGUGUGUGUGUGUGUGUGUGUGUGUGUGUGUGUGGUAUGCGAGGCCAGGGCGGCUGGUCUGUAGGGGUGUUAACAGGAAGAUCACAGUGCUGUUGGAAGGACGGCCAGCCGGCAAUGUGGACAGGGGGGCGAGGCCCUUGAUGGCGGAAGUGGGCAUACAGACGAUGUCAUAGAGAGUGUGAGGUGGGACACAGUAGAUUACGUGAAAAGCGCUAUAUAAAUUGAAUCUAUUAUUAUUAUUAACAGAUAUUCUAGUGAUUUUCAUCUAACAUGGUGUAUUUGGAUCAACUUUAUUUUACCAUUAGUAGAUUGUCUGUCUAUGAUGCGUUGAGUGGGCGUAGGCCUGUAGGACCUACGUGUGCGUGGGUCCAGUACCUAUUGGACAGGCGUCUAUGACGUCGGGGCCUUAGGUGUGAAUGUCUACCGAGGGACUGCUAUCAGGCAUAAAUAUACGGGGCCCCGUGAUACGGGAGCGUACGACCUCCGACCCUGACGUUAGACACGCUAUUCUAAGUUAGUAAACGCGUCGUAGCAGUUGGAAGAAAAAAAAACAGCGAUCCGUCCUGCACAACUAUGCCGACUGACUCUGCGAUUACUUCACAGCGAAUUGCGGUGCCGGAGGCGAGAGCGUGAAACAGCAGCAGGGUCCACGUGGAAGUUUGCCUGAUAUUCGGCUCAACAUUCAAAGACCGAUUCUAGCAGACCAGACUAAUGUGCUGACAAGCGGUAGUUUUGUACCUAUCGAGGCCAAUGUCAUUCAGCGAACCCCCGGACCAAAUCGACUGUCCAAGAAGAAUUUGAAAAGAUCGGCGGGGGUAGUGGUGGCUAUACCCUGUACACCACUGGCCAUAGAACAGCUACAAAUUCCUUAUAAAAAGGCUCGCAAGGAUGCCACACAUAAUGGUUUAACUCCGGAGAAUAUUACCCAGGUUAUACAGGCAGUCAUAAAUCCGCAAAUUGCGCCACAUGGAGCGGCAUGGACUGAUCCCAAACACCGUGUGAUCGGGGACGUGGAGGUGUAUGUGCAUGAGUCGCCUACAGAGACCGUCACUGUGCAACCGGAUGGGACUAUACAGCACGCAGCCCAUGGAGAUCCCCAGUGUGCGCCACCACCAGAGCUGACCGCCGACGAUUGGGCUGGUCUUGACGACAUCUCGUCCUGGACUUCAUCGUUGUUGGAACAUAUCGACUUCACUCCUGCGCAGUGGAUCGACUCUCCAGCUACAUCCGUAGAGGCUACCACCAGUGCAGAGCCUGUACAACACCAUCAGCCUGCAGAUCCUGCAUCUGGACCCCUACAAGCCGUUCAAGACCCUAUCACACCCCCGUGCACCGUGAGUCCCAUCGCUCAUGAGGUAGCGGUGCCGAGGCUACCAGCCGGUCCCGCAAUUGCU
ensembl:lncRNA